CACAAGCGGUGGAGCAUGUGGUUUAAUUCGAUGCAACGCGAAGAACCUUACCUGGUCUUGACAUCCACAGAACCCUGUAGAGAUACGGGGGUGCCUUCGGGAACUGUGAGACAGGUGCUGCAUGGCUGUCGUCAGCUCGUGUUGUGAAAUGUUGGGUUAAGUCCCGCAACGAGCGCAACCCUUAUCCUUUGUUGCCAGCGGUUAGGCCGGGAACUCAAAGGAGACUGCCAGUGAUAAACUGGAGGAAGGUGGGGAUGACGUCAAGUCAUCAUGGCCCUUACGACCAGGGCUACACACGUGCUACAAUGGCGCAUACAAAGAGAAGCGACCUCGCGAGAGCAAGCGGACCUCAUAAAGUGCGUCGUAGUCCGGACUGGAGUCUGCAACUCGACUCCACGAAGUCGGAAUCGCUAGUAAUCGUGGAUCAGAAUGCCACGGUGAAUACGUUCCCGGGCCUUGUACACACCGCCCGUCACACCAUGGG
rnacentral:rRNA from 1 species